rnacentral:rRNA from 1 species
CUACGGGCCGCUGCAGUGGGGAAUAUUGCACAAUGGGCGCAAGCCUGAUGCAGCCAUGCCGCGUGUAUGAAGAAGGCCUUCGGGUUGUAAAGUACUUUCAGCGGGAAGGAAGGGAGUAAAGUUAAUACCUUUGCUCAUUGACGUUACCCGCAGAAGAAGCACCGGCUAACUCCGUGCCAGCAGCCGCGGUAAUACGGAGGGUGCAAGCGUUAAUCGGAAUUACUGGGCGUAAGGCGCACGCAGGCGGUUUGUUAAGUCAGAUGUGAAAUCCCCGGGCUCAACCUGGGAACUGCAUCUGAUACUGGCAAGCUUGAGUCUCGUAGAGGGGGGUAGAAUUCCAGGUGUAGCGGUGAAAUGCGUAGAGAUCUGGAGGAAUACCGGUGGCGAAGGCGGCCCCCUGGACGAAGACUGACGCUCAGGUGCGAAAGCGUGGGGAGCAAACAGGAUUAGAUACCCCGGUAGUC